UGCAGUCGAACGCUUCUUUUUCCACCGGAGCUUGCUCCACCGGAAAAAGAGGAGUGGCGAACGGGUGAGUAACACGUGGGUAACCUGCCCAUCAGAAGGGGAUAACACUUGGAAACAGGUGCUAAUACCGUAUAACAAUCGAAACCGCAUGGUUUUGAUUUGAAAGGCGCUUUCGGGUGUCGCUGAUGGAUGGACCCGCGGUGCAUUAGCUAGUUGGUGAGGUAACGGCUCACCAAGGCGACGAUGCAUAGCCGACCUGAGAGGGUGAUCGGCCACAUUGGGACUGAGACACGGCCCAAACUCCUACGGGAGGCAGCAGUAGGGAAUCUUCGGCAAUGGACGAAAGUCUGACCGAGCAACGCCGCGUGAGUGAAGAAGGUUUUCGGAUCGUAAAACUCUGUUGUUAGAGAAGAACAAGGAUGAGAGUAACUGUUCAUCCCUUGACGGUAUCUAACCAGAAAGCCACGGCUAACUACGUGCCAGCAGCCGCGGUAAUACGUAGGUGGCAAGCGUUGUCCGGAUUUAUUGGGCGUAAAGCGAGCGCAGGCGGUUUCUUAAGUCUGAUGUGAAAGCCCCCGGCUCAACCGGGGAGGGUCAUUGGAAACUGGGAGACUUGAGUGCAGAAGAGGAGAGUGGAAUUCCAUGUGUAGCGGUGAAAUGCGUAGAUAUAUGGAGGAACACCAGUGGCGAAGGCGGCUCUCUGGUCUGUAACUGACGCUGAGGCUCG
rnacentral:rRNA from 1 species